rnacentral:rRNA from 1 species
GGGGAAUUGUUCGCAAUGGGCGCAAGCCUGACGACGCAACGCCGCGUGGAGGAUGAAGACCUUCGGGUCGUAAACUCCUUUCGACCGAGAUGAAUUCCUGCCGACCUAACACGUCGGCGGGGUGACAGUAUCGAGGGAAGCAGCCCCGGCUAACUCCGUGCCAGCAGCCGCGGUAAUACGGGGGGGGCAAGCGUUGUUCGGAAUUACUGGGCGUAGAGGGUUCGUAGGUGGCCAACUAAGUCAGACGUGAAAUCCCUCAGCUUAACUGGGGAACUGCGUCUGAGACUGGAUGGCUUGAGUGCAGGAGAGGAACGCGGAAUUCCAGGUGUAGCGGUGAAAUGCGUAGAUAUCUGGAGGAACACCGGUGGCGAAGGCGGCGUUCUGGACUGCAACUGACACUGAUGAACGAAAGCCAGGGGAGCAAAC